CGCACCACACUAGUGCCUGACUUUAAUUGGUUGUAGCGCUGCCUGCAUAUAAAGGGCCCUCCCUCACCUGGUAGACAACACGUUCUCCUUCCGGUUCAGACUUCACUGUUUACUGGCGCUAUACGACUGACGCGCUUAAUACAUUAAUUGCUGUUCAAGCCUUCUUCUGGUGACUUGUACCAGCUGACUGCUUCUUCUCCCUGCCAGAGGCAUAACGCAUCAAGCUCAGUGGUAAGCGAAAGCUCAUUUUACGUAUGCUUCCAGAUUCUAUUUUUGACAUGUAUGUUUGAUAGACGCUGCUGUUUGUCCUUGGCCGGCUGUUUGCCCGUACUCUGUUGUCCCUGGUUGACGGUCCGUCCGCCUGUGACCUGGUUAUUCGUCGUCGGCUGACGGCGGCCUACCCGUCGCCCUGGUUGUCGGCUUCAUACCCGCUGUCCUGGUCGGCGUAAGCUGGCUUUUGACUCUCGUCCAGUGUGGCUGAUUCAGGCUGGUUUAUGACCAGCUCGUCCUGAUCCCUCUGGUGCCGCUCUGGCUGGCGUUUGCUGUGGCGCGGCGGUUCGUCUCAGGACGGACUCCUAACUUGGACUGCUAUUGCUUGAUUUGUGAGGACUGAACUAUAUAACCAAGAAAUGUAUGUAAUUUGAAUGUCUUUUCUUUUUUUGACAGGAACGGCCAGCUCGGGGUGUUGGUGGUGGACUUUCCGGGUGGUGGUACUUUCUUUGGUUUGGUGCACGAUUUUCUUUUAUUUGGUUUGCUGUGUUUCCUUUGUAGGUCCCUGCCAGCUUCGAGUUGAGCCGUAAAUGUCAUUUUAAUGUGUGAGUGAUUUUAAAUUAAUAUAUUUCUGACUAGAAAAUUGAAAUAAAUAAACUGAUUGGAUUGAGUGGAA